UAGGCUUGACAUGCAUGGGAAAGCCCUGAGAAACCAGGGCCCCUCUUCGGAGUCCAUGCACAGGUGCUGCAUGGCUGUCGUCAGCUCGUGUCGUGAGAUGUUGGGUUAAGUCCCGCAACGAGCGCAACCCCCGUUUCUAGUUGCCAGCGGGUAAUGCCGGGAACUCUAGAAAGACUGCCGGUGCCAAACCGGAGGAAGGUGGGGAUGACGUCAAGUCAUCAUGGUCCUUACGUCUAGGGCUACACACGUGCUACAAUGGCCGGUACAGAGGGUUGCGAGCUCGCGAGAGCAAGCCAAUCCCAGAAAGCCGGCCUCAGUGCGGAUUGGAGGCUGCAACUCGCCUCCAUGAAGCUGGAAUCGCUAGUAAUCGUGGAUCAGCUACGCCACGGUGAAUACGUUCCCGGGCC
rnacentral:rRNA from 1 species